AGGUUGGCCGCGAGGGUUCCAUUCGGGAUUCAGCCAUUCCUAAAUCCCAAUUUCCCAUUUGCCUCUUCCAGUCUUCCCUCUUCUAUUCCUUCUUCCCUCUUCGGCUCUUCCCUUCCCAAGUUCGCAGUUCGCGAGUCGCAACUUAGCCGGCAGCCGGCACUCCAUGACUCUCAGUCCCAAUUCCCUUUAGCUUCGCCUUCCCUUCCCAGUUCCGUUCCCACUUCGCAGUUCACACGCAGUCGGCGACGACGAGUUCGAACUUCCUGUUCCAGAUCGACAGAUCCAGUCUUCCCCUUCGGACUUCGGCUUCCACCUUCCCAACUUCGUAGCUCGCACUCUCGCAGACUCGCAGUAGUCCUUCGGACCUUCCGUUCUUCAGAGAAGCAUCAUUUUGUGAGAGACUUCAAUUUUUGCAUCAUUGAGAAGCAUCAUUUUGCAAGGGACUUCAAUUUCAUCCCAAAAAAGCAUCAAUUUGAUCUGUUCUUGUUAUUGCUAAAAUGAAGGAAGAAGAAGUGAACCUAUGCCAGAUUCAAGAAUGGUAUCCCAAAUUUAAAUCUGUUUCCAUUAAAACCCAAAUUCAUGAACUUCCAGAGUCUUUUGUCAAAUACCUUCUAGAUGAUUCGGGGCCCUUCCUUCUUCCGCUUUCCAUUUCAAAUGAUGAUGCCCUGCCUAAUAGAAUCCACAACCCUUUGGACGAGGAAGAUUGCCAAGUAUCUGAAGGAUCUGAAGAUGAAUCAGAGAAAUCAUUAUCACCUCCUUCUUUUCCAGAUCUUGAAUUGAAGGUUAAAAACUCAAUCGACUCACUUGGUGGUGCAAUUUUCCCUAAACUGAAUUGGAGUGCACCAAAGGACUCGGCUUGGAUUAGCACUACUGGAACUCUCCGAUGCUCCUCUUUCAGUGAGAUUGUGCUCUUGUUGCGGUCAUCUGAUUCAUUGGUACAUGAUCUAUGCCAUGCAUAUGAUGCUUGCAUUGAUAAAACAUCAUCAAGGCCUGCAAUUUUCUAUCUUGCCCUUCGCAAGUGGUAUCCCUUGCUUCGCCCAGAAAUGGAGUUUCGCUGCUUUGUAUGGGGAAAGAAAUUGGUUGGAAUUUCCCAACGUGAGGUCACUGGGUUUUAUCCAGCACUUGUUGAAAAGAAAAAUGAUAUUGAAGCUUUGAUUUGGGAAUUUUUUGUUGAUAAUGUGAGGUUUAGAUUUGAAUUGGAAAAUUAUGUAUUUGAUGUCUAUAUCACAAAUGAUGAGCGGGUAAAGCUUGUUGAUUUUAAUCCUUGGGGUGCCUUUACACUGUCGUUGCUAUUUGAUUGGGAAGAAUUGGAGCAAAAGUUUAGGGAAGAGAGGGAUGAUGUGGAGUUUAGAAUUGUUGAGAGCCAGUGUGCUGUUCGACCAGGUUUGAAGACUGCAGUUCCCUAUGAUUACUUGGAUACCAACCCCGAUAGUGGCUGGGACCAGUUCUUUAGAAAGGCCGAUGAGGAAUUGCAGCAGCAAAUCAGGUCUCCUGAAGCAGGUGCAUGAGGAUUUAGUCUCUCAUUUUUUAGGUUAUUCUCAGGGAAAAAGUAGAUUGAAGACUUUGAUGGAAUAGGAUAUGGAGAUAUAGCUGCGAGAAAUUUGGUUAGUUACAAAUUACAAUUAUUGUUUAUCAAAUAAAUUUCUUCAAAAAUAAGGUAUUUGUGGUUCAUUUGUUUUGGUUGUGGCCUUGGAAAAAUAAAGUACGAAUAUUUGAAAUAUUACAUUCCACUAGUGCAUGCAUUGUUAGUUUGAAGGAUGUUAAUAUUUUUCUGUUGUGUUAAUUUUGUCUGUCGGUCCUUGGGCUUUGGUGGAAUUUCCAGAAAUUGUUUUUUUGAAUAUAUUUUAAGUUUUUUUCUUUUAAUUUACAUUGAUUAUCAGGAGUCCAUAGUAUUAUCUUUUCUAUGAAAUCUGUGGCUAUUCAUUUGCAAUAUUUGUAUUUCAUUGCUAACUUAGGGUCAUGAUGAGUUGGUGCAUGGAUGGAAUUAUUGUCCAGGCCCAGGGUUGAGUAAAGGGAAGUUCAGUGGAAUUUAUAUCUAAGUGUCAUGAACAUGCCUUAGGCUUGCUACAGUUCUAUUUUCCAAGAAACACCACAUUUAAAUGUUGUUUUGUUUUAGUUUCUUAUGCUUACAUUCUGUAUUAGAUUUCAUGUUAAAGUUGGGUCGGCAUGGCUUAAAAUGUGAAAACAUUGGGCUUGGAUCUAUGCUGACUUUAGUUAGUUUAGUUUGUUCGAUUUUAUUUAUUUUUAAAUAUCAUUUUGGUUUGUGAUUUUUUUUGUAUAUAAUGUGUAAAUAUGGUUCAAUUUGAAAAAAAUGUUAGCUUUGCUUCUCAUCUACCUUUUUAGAUCUGAAGUCUAUUAAUUUUGCUAUGGCUUAGCAUUCAAGAAACAUUUGAUCUGGCCAGUCUUCUUUGGACUGUAAUUUCACUUUACAAUAUUUUAGAUAACCAUUCGAUUAGGAUGCCUGGAUACGAACCAAUCCCAUUGUAAAGAGCGGAAAAAAAAUCAUGGUAACUUUGAUAGCAUUUGAACGAAGAGUUGUGGGAAUAAUUUGUUUUCCAUUUGUGAUAUCUUUAAUUUGUUUGUUCAGUCGUAAAAGGAUCUGCCUUUCCUUGUGCUGCUUGAAUUUGAUUUGUUAUGCUGCCAGCCCGUGCUUGCAGUCAAAAAAAAAAUCAGUCGUCUAAAAUUAGUUUGCAGGUUCAGAUGUUAGCAGAACUGCUAUGAUAUGUCUGAACUAAUACUAACUGAAUCGAAAAGGAACUAAUGCGUAUUAAACUGAAACGAAAAGGAAUUAAUGUGUAUUCUUCCCUUAAUGUAGAUAUGAUAUGUUGAUUAAAUCUUGCUUUUUUUUUUUUCCAAUAUCCUUUUGUAAAUUUAUAUCAUUUUGCAUGUAAUAUAUAUAAAUAUAAAGUAAGAGUGAGUCAUUCUUUCACCCAAUCUGCAUAUUUUUGAUUUAUAGUUGUGACUGUAUUUUGUGAUUUGUAAUUGAUAGUAGUAUGAUCUUCUCUGAUAUAAUGGAUGCAAGUACAUGUAAUAAUGGUAAUGUUGUUCUUAACUUAAUUUUUUGCUGGCCUUUUUUACUCAUUUGAAAUGAUUUGAUGAAUGGACAUUUAAUCAUCUAGGAAUAAACUUGUUAGAAUCUUUCCAUUUAACCAAGUACAUUCUUUUUCUUAGUUACAUUCAUUUUCUUGCCACCCUGCUGCAUAGUACAUUCUUUUUCUUAGUUACAUUCAUUAACAUGUGUAUUUGGUUUCUUGUGACUUGGGUGCGGUGCUGGGUGUUUUUUCCAGUCAGGUUUUGGGUUGGGUAGGUAUUGAGGAGAUUUGUUUUUGUAUUGGAGGGGAGAAGGGGGCAAGUGAACAUGACUGUUUGAAUGCUGGAGGUUUAAUGAAGAAUUGAAGUACUAGUACAAUGGGAGGCCAGAGGUGGUGGCAUGGAAUCUUGAAUUGUUGAUUCUUGAAGAGUUGAGGGGGAAGGGGGAGAUGGUUGAUUGGGGUGAUGGCGAUGAAGGUCGAGGGUGAUUUGUGAAGGACAGAAGGCUUGAUUCUCUAGGCGAUUCUCUAGGCGGGUGAAUGGGGAUGGGGAAUCCUAGUAAUCUAUUUGCCAGGGCUGGUGUUGGGUGUGGGAAACAAGGAUUUUGUUUUGGCCCUUAUAAGUCAUUUUAAUAAUAUAUUUAUUUAUUGUAAUGGAAAUUUCAAUUUUCAGUUCAAUACUGAACAUAUAUCUAUGUAAUC